rnacentral:lncRNA from 1 species
ACACACAGUCAAUCUGUUUCUCGCUUCCCCUCCCCUCCCCCCAAGGCCGCCAUAAAGUGUCCACAGCUGUGCCCUUGAUUAUCCCGCCCUCUCUGUGCCCACAAGGGGGUGGGGGUGGGGGUGGGGGCGAGGGCGAGCUGAAAUGCAGCGCGGCCGUUACCGCCGACAAAAAGGGACAAUUUUCAAACAUUUUUGCUUUUCAUCAGGGAAGCUGAUGGCACAUAGAAAGUGCAUCAUUUUAUUCUAAAUGCUUUUUAAAUAUGGGUCACUUGGCCAGAAUCAGCCCCGAAGGAUGGGAGAAGUUCAAAACCUGAAACAAUCACACAGAUUGGCAGGUUUCUUUCCCGGCUGUAUCACGAUCAGGGGGCCUGUGGGCCGGUGCCUCGGGAGGCGGCGACUUUCCCAGCCCCGGCGGAGAGGAACUCCUCGCCGUGUUCGCCGAGGACCCGCAAAGGCGUGAGCCCGCAGGGUUGCGUCCGGCCAGGGAGGCGCGUGCAGGGGCGCGGCGGGGCGGCGCAGGUGUCCCUCGGAGGCGCGCCCCUGCUGGCCGGGCGGUUGGGGCCGCGGCGGCGCAGGACGAGGCGGAGGACCGCCGGCGGCCGUGCCCGCGCGCACCCGGCGCAGGGAGGAGGGCUGGGCGAGAGGGCCGGGCCCCGAGCCGCGGCGGGGACCCCAGGGCGCCGGGCGCGGCGAGGACGGGGCUGUGCGGCGGCGCGAACCACCCCGACCGGGCGUGGGGCAAAACCCGCCACCCGGCGGCGUCGCGGGGUGGGGGCGUGGGAGGCGGCGAGGGAGCUCCCAGGCCGGGGCUCACCGCCAGGGAGCGGUUCCCGGAACUGACCCCGAACCAGGAGGCGGGCCCCGGGAGGGUAUCUGGGCCACUUGACGACUGGACAAAAGUUUCCCAAGACAUUCACACUCCAAACUAGAGAUGGUGUCAAGCGAUGCUCAGAAGGCCUCCCUGGGAAUGGACACACUGGACCUCGUAUCUGCCGCAGACCCGCUGGACCAACCGAGGAACCUGUAAGGAAUGCAACCCCACUAGUUUGCAAGGAAAGUCCUCUUGAGAUGGAAAAGACUUCUGGAGGGACCAGACCAAGGGUCACCAGAGCACCUGCUAGCAUAACCUCAUGUUCGUCCAAUCAACUGCAAACACCUUCUCAGGAGACCCCUGCCCCCAAUUUUGCCCUUAAAAACCCUCACUUGCAAGCCAUUGGGGCGGUGGGGACUUGUGAGCAUUAGCUCCCGGUUCUCCUGGGUGGUGCCAAACCAAUAAAUAGCUCAUCUUUGCUGCA